rnacentral:rRNA from 1 species
GACGAACGCUGGCGGCGUGCCUAAUACAUGCAAGUCGAACGCAUUUUCUUUCACCGUAGCUUGCUACACCGAAAGAAAAUGAGUGGCGAACGGGUGAGUAACACGUGAGUAACCUGCCCAUCAGCGGGGGAUAACACUUGGAAACAGGUGCUAAUACCGCAUAAUUCCAUUUACUGCAUGGUAGAUGGAUGAAAGGCGCUUUUGCGUCACUGAUGGAUGGACCCGCGGUGCAUUAGCUAGUUGGUGGGGUAACGGCCUACCAAGGCUGCGAUGCAUAGCCGACCUGAGAGGGUGAUCGGCCACACUGGGACUGAGACACGGCCCAGACUCCUACGGGAGGCAGCAGUAGGGAAUCUUCGGCAAUAGACGCAAGUCUGACCGAGCAACGCCGCGUGAGUGAAGAAGGUUUUCGGAUCGUAAAACUCUGUUGUUAGAAAAGAACAAGGAUGAGAGUGGAAAGUUCAUCCCUUGACGGUAUCUAACCAGAAAGCCACGGCUAACUACGUG